rnacentral:rRNA from 1 species
CCUGCCCCUAAGUCUGGGAUACCAUUUGGAAACAGGUGCUAAUACCGGAUAAUAAAGCAGAUCGCAUGAUCAGCUUUUGAAAGGCGGCGUAAGCUGUCGCUAAGGGAUGGCCCCGCGGUGCAUUAGCUAGUUGGUAAGGUAACGGCUUACCAAGGCGACGAUGCAUAGCCGAGUUGAGAGACUGAUCGGCCACAUUGGGACUGAGACACGGCCCAAACUCCUACGGGAGGCAGCAGUAGGGAAUCUUCCACAAUGGACGCAAGUCUGAUGGAGCAACGCCGCGUGAGUGAAGAAGGUUUUCGGAUCGUAAAGCUCUGUUGUUGGUGAAGAAGGAUAGAGGUAGUAACUGGCCUUUAUUUGACGGUAAUCAACCAGAAAGUCACGGCUAACUACGUGCCAGCAGCCGCGGUAAUACGUAGGUGGCAAGCGUUGUCCGGAUUUAUUGGGCGUAAAGCGAGCGCAGGCGGAAAAAUAAGUCUAAUGUGAAAGCCCUCGGCUUAACCGAGGAACUGCAUCGGAAACUGUUUUUCUUGAGUGCAGAAGAGGAGAGUGGAACUCCAUGUGUAGCGGUGGAAUGCGUAGAUAUAUGGAAGAACACCAGUGGCGAAGGCGGCUCUCUGGUCUGCAACUGACGCUGAGGCUCGAAAGCAUGGGUAGCGGAACAGGAUUAGAUACCCCUGGUUAGUCCAUGCCGUAAACGAUGAGUGCUAAGUGUUGGGAGGUUUCCCGCCUCUCAGUGCUGCAGCUAACGGCAUUAAGCA